rnacentral:rRNA from 1 species
AUGGCUCAGGAUGAACGCUGGCGGCGUGCUUAACACAUGCAAGUCGAACGGAGCCUAGCGAGUGCUGCACUUGCGAAAGCUAGUGGCGGACGGGUGAGUAACGCGUGGGUAACCUGCCCUGUACUGGGGGAUAACAGCCGGAAACGGCUGCUAAUACCGCAUAAGCCCACAUGGCCGCAUGGCCAAGGGGGAAAAAACUCCGGUGGUACAGGAUGGACCCGCGUCUGAUUAGCUAGUUGGUGAGGUAACGGCCCACCAAGGCGACGAUCAGUAGCCGGCCUGAGAGGGUGAACGGCCACAUUGGGACUGAGACACGGCCCAAACUCCUACGGGAGGCAGCAGUGGGGAAUAUUGCACAAUGGGGGAAACCCUGAUGCAGCGACGCCCGCGUGAGCGAUGAAGUAUUUCGGUAUGUAAAGCUCUAUCAGCAGGGAAGAAAAUGACGGUACCUGACUAAGAAGCACCGGCUAAAUACGUGCCAGCAGCAGC